GCCUACCUCUCGUCGUCGCCGGAGCCCGGGAACCAUAUCCCUUCUGUUCCGUAACAAGACCAAAUUGCCCUUGCGUGCUGGGUUUCCUCAGUUGGAGCCACCGAAAAUAUCGAGCCCCACAAGGUGUCACGAAGUCAUUAGUCGGGCCGAAAUCGACGCAGUUGGGCAUCAUGGGCUCAAGUACUGAAAGAUAGCUGGGCCGUAAUGAAUGACCACGUACAAGUCCAAGGAAUUAUAUCGAUCGAUCAUGAUUGAAGGCGCAAAGUCGUAUGACACAAUUUUUUGGUUUGAUCUCACCACUCACCAAUGCUAUUAUGGAAUGAAAUGGUAAGCUCGCGCUUAUUGCCAUUCGAGCCUGAGUUUUUUU